rnacentral:rRNA from 1 species
GGCGAACGCUGGCGGCGUGCUUAACACAUGCAAGUCGAACGGAAAGGCCCUGCUUUUGUGGGGUGCUCGAGUGGCGAACGGGUGAGUAACACGUGAGUAACCUGCCCUUGACUUUGGGAUAACUUCAGGAAACUGGGGCUAAUACCGGAUAGGAGCUCCUGCUGCAUGGUGGGGGUUGGAAAGUUUCGGCGGUUGGGGAUGGACUCGCGGCUUAUCAGCUUGUUGGUGGGGUAGUGGCUUACCAAGGCUUUGACGGGUAGCCGGCCUGAGAGGGUGACCGGCCACAUUGGGACUGAGAUACGGCCCAGACUCCUACGGGAGGCAGCAGUGGGGAAUAUUGCACAAUGGGCGGAAGCCUGAUGCAGCAACGCCGCGUGCGGGAUGACGGCCUUCGGGUUGUAAACCGCUUUCGCCUGUGACGAAGCGUGAGUGACGGUAACGGGUAAAGAAGCACCGGCUAACUACGUG